GUCCACGCCGUAACGAUGAGUGCUAAGUGUUGGGUCGAACCUCAGUGCUGAAGUUAACGCAUUAAGCACUCCGCCUGGGAGUACGGUCGCAAGACUGAAACUCAAAGGAAUUGACGGGACCCGCACAAGCGGUGGAGCAUGUGGUUAAUUCGAAGCAACGCGAAGAACCUUACCAGGUCUUGACAUACCAGUGACCGUCCUAGAGAUAGGAUUUCCCUCGGGACAGUGGAUACAGGUGGUGCAUGGUUGUCGU
rnacentral:rRNA from 1 species